rnacentral:rRNA from 1 species
GGGAUAUUGCGCAAUGGGGGAAACCCUGACGCAGCAACGCCGCGUGGAGGAUGACGGUUUUCGGAUUGUAAACUCCUUUUAUAAGGGACGAAACCAGACGGUACCUUAUGAAUAAGCUCCGGCUAACUACGUGCCAGCAGCCGCGGUAAUACGUAGGGAGCAAGCGUUGUCCGGAUUUACUGGGUGUAAAGGGUGCGUAGGCGGCUUGGCAAGUCAGGUGUGAAAUGCAGAGGCUCAACCUCUGAACUGCACUUGAAACUGUCAGGCUUGAGUGAAGUAGAGGCAGGCGGAAUUCCCUGUGUAGCGGUGAAAUGCGUAGAGAUAGGGAGGAACACCAGUGGCGAAGGCGGCCUGCUGGGCUUUAACUGACGCUCAGGCACGAAAGCGUGGGUAGCAAACA